CAGACUGAGUUUACUGUGAAGUUUUUCAACACUUUUUCUAUCUUGCACAUUUCCUGAAAGAGCUGAUAGAAAAUGUGUUUCCUGAAAAUGUAGUAAGUGAAAAAGAAUGGCUAAAACCCCCCCAUAAAAACUGCAAAACGAGCUCAGCUAUCCUGCAACUUCCUGUUUAGAGAUUCAGCUUCAAUAUUGAGUCAAGUUUUCCUAAUGUACCGAGAGUAUCAUACUAAAUUGAGGUCUCUGAAAUUUCAGGUAGGUGUCACAGAACAAAGCAUGACCUUUUGCUACUGAAGAGGCAAUACAUUUUGUAAACGAAACACAGAAUUUCUAUUCACUCUCUGACUUUUUACUGAAACCUUACAUCAAUUUCAAUACCCAUGAUGGUUUCACACCUCCACUGCUUGUAAAUUAUGUUAAAUGUCUAAAAUCACUAGAUCCGAUGAGAGUCUUCCUGGUUGGCACCUGCACUCAAGACUAGUCUUUACAGAUGAGAUUGGUAGCAACGUCUCUAUGUAUCUUGAAUAGAACAAACUGUCUUCGAUGAUACUGAGAGAUUGAGAACUAGUUGAACCUGAAACUUUUGUC